AAGGGGUGUUUGGAAUGAAGUUUGAUCCAAGAUCCUUGUCUCUCCCGUUAACUUAGUCUCUGUUACCGUUAGGUAUUCAUUACUGAGUGUAUUUGCAGCCCCCUUGUCUGAUUUUAGCAUCAUGAGAGUAGGAAGUGCUGGUGAUCAUAGGGUUUGGUUCAAGAUCCAUUUGACUCUUCUCUUUAUAUCUCUCCUGUGUCCUAGCUGGUAAUCUGUAGUAGUCUUAAUUAUCCCUUACUUCUUGUUAAUUUUUAGGUUUGAUCUUGCAAGUAAUUAUAUUUGGAAAAUAUCAUAAAAUGAUCUCGGACCAGGCUUCAUUCCUUACACCUUG
rnacentral:pre_miRNA from 1 species